CUCAGCUCAUCUCUAAUCAUGUUUAACUCAUAUCUGCUUUUGCUGCUGUCUGCAGCGAUGUCUUGUGUUCACUGUGUUGAACUGACUCAGCCUGCAUCCAUUAAUCUGAGGUCUGAUCAGACUUUGACUCUGUCCUGUAAGGUGUCUGGAUAUUCAUUGACUGAUGGCAGCUACUGCACUCACUAUAUACGACAGACUGCUGGAAAACCUCUGGAAUGGAUUGGAAGGAUUUGUAGCAGCGCUGACACAUAUUACAAUGAUAAACUGAAAAAUAAAUUUCAAGUUACAAGAGACACUUCCAGCAGCACAGUGACUCUACAAGGACAGAAUAUGAGGACUGAGGACACAGCUGUGUAUUACUGUGCACGAGAGAGCACACUGAUGUAAACCACAAGCACUUCUGUUCAAAAACACAAUGAGAAACACAACCCAAAAUUCCAAGUGAAACAAAAAUGCAUUUAAGUUAAUUUAUAAAUUCGAAAGGUU